GGGCUGGUAGCUUAACCUGGGAAAGCACACGACUGAAGCUCGUGGUAUUAGGGGUUCAAAUCCCCUCCGGCCCA
rnacentral:tRNA from 1 species